GCAGUCGAACGAGAACGGAUAUAGCUUCGCUAUAGUUGUCGGCUAAUGGCGCACGGGUGAGUAAUGUAUAAAUAACCUGCCCUUAAGAAAGGAAUAACAGUUGGAAACGACUGCUAAUGCCCUAUAUGCCUUUAAUACAUAAGUAUGCAAGGGAAACGCUUUAGUGCUUAAGGAUGGGUCUGUAUGGUAUCAGCUUGUUGGUGAGGUAAUGGCUCACCAAGGCUAUGACGCCUAACUGGUUUGAAAGGAUGAUCAGUCACACUGGAACUGAAACACAGUCCAAACUCCUACGGGAGGCAGCAAUGGGGAAUAUUGCACAAUGGACGAAAGUCUGAUGCACCAACGCCGCGUGGAGGAUGACACAUUUCGGUGCGUAAACUCCUUUUAUAUAGGAAGAUAAUGACGGUACUAUAUGAAUAAGCACCGGCUAACUCCGUGCC
rnacentral:rRNA from 1 species